AUCGGAUUAAGGGACACCCAGAUACCCAGUAAAGCAUCGUUUCUGGGUAUUUCUGUGAGGAUGUUUCCAGAGGAGAUUGUCAUUUGAAUCAGUGGAUUGAGUAAGGAAGAUCUGCUCGAAACCCAAUCCCUGAAAGAAAACCGAGAGACAACCCACUAGGAUAUCUUCUCCAUCCUGCAGAAAUUGUACGUAAACCAAAUUAGAAAUAAAUGUUAGAGGAUCGCUGAUUAAGAAUUGUUGCCAGAAGCCUGAAUAAACACUUUCUAAUCUGCCUCCUCCUAUGAACGUCUGUUGGAUAUUUCAAAACUAACUCGUUUCUCAAUAAACCACAGGUAGUGCCUAGCAGAGGGUGUCUCACAUGAAAUAAUCACACAGCUAGCAUUGCCUCCAGCAAUAUAGCACACAGAUUUUGUGCCUCUUCCCCCACAACCAAGUUCAGUAGUCAUAAAUCUGGAGAUUAUGACACUUACAGAACAAAACUUAAUAAGGAAACCACAAGAUGUUUGACAGAAAAGCAAACACAUACACAUACACACACACACACACACACACAUUGAUUUGUUCAUUCAUUCAACAAAUGUUUUUUGAGCAUGUACUAUGUUCAAGGUCAUGUAACAAUUUAAAGGUGGAAGCACAUCUCUUGGGUGCCAUUAUAAUUAAAAAGUGCUAUUGGCACAUAUGAGGAAGAAAGUCUGUUGACUUCUCAUAUUGUGGACCUGACUGUCUCCAGGGUUGUCAAUGCUGCAACCACUUUUCCUGACAGUAACUAUGAAGACAAAUUAUGUAGUAAGAGAAAAUGAAAUUUAAGGAAAGAUGUACAAUAAAAUGUAAAGAAUUAAACUUAAAAAUUCUAAAGGUAAGAAACAAAGAUCUCAUUUGACAUUACAAGCUGUGAAUAUAAAUUUAUCAGGAAGAGUUUUUGAAAAUGUUUCAUAGCAUGAAAAAUGAAGAUGUAUGUAGACAAUCUCCAAAUUAAAAUGGUUCCACUUAAAAAUGUAUUGACUUUAUGAUGGUGUGAAAGCAAUACUCAUUCUGUAGACUGUACUUUGAGUACCCAUAUAACCAUUCUGUUUUUCACUUUCAGCACAGUCUUCAGUGAAUUACCUAGACUGUCCAACACUUUUAUAUAAAAUAGACUUUAUGUUAGAUUGUUUUGCCCACUGUAGGCUAAUGUAAGUGUUCUGAGUAUCUUUAAGGUAGGUUAGGCUAAGCUAUGAUGUUUGGUAGGUUAGGUGUAUUCAAUACAUUUUCAACUUUUAUCAGGAUGUAACCCCAUUAUAAGGCAAGAAGCACCACUAUUAUACUUGUGGGAUAAAUAAAAUUAGUAUGUUUGUAAAAAUUACAAUGAUUAUACUUUUUGUAUUUUUCUUAUCCUUUCAAAAAU
rnacentral:lncRNA from 10 species